GAGGGUGUAGCUCAGUGGUAGAGUGCCUGCCUAGCAUGCAUGAGGUCCUGGGUUCAAUCCCCAGUACCUCCU
rnacentral:tRNA from 1 species